rnacentral:sRNA from 1 species
GCCGGGCGCGGUGGCUCACGCCUGUAAUCCCACUACUUUGGGAGGCCAAGGUGGGAGGAUCACCUGAGGUCGGGAGUUCAAACCAGCCUGACCAACAUGGAGAAACCCCAUCUUUA